rnacentral:tRNA from 1 species
AGCACAGUGACUGAAUGGAAAGGUUUUUAUUUGAGGGUUCGAAUCCCUUCUGUGUUA